CAGUCGCCGCGGUAAUACGGAGGGGGCUAGCGUUGUUCGGAAUUACUGGGCGUAAAGCGCACGUAGGCGGCUUGGUAAGUUAGAGGUGAAAGCCCGGAGCUCAACUCCGGAAUUGCCUUUAAGACUGCCGAGCUAGUAGGUGAGAGAGGUAAGUGGAAUUCCGAGUGUAGAGGUGAAAUUCGUAGAUAUUCGGAAGAACACCAGUGGCGAAGGCGGCUUACUGGCUCAUUCUAGACGCUGAGGUGCGAAAGCGUGGGGAGCAAACAGGAUUAGAUACCCGUGUAGUCCCUGUCUCUUAUAC
rnacentral:rRNA from 1 species